AUUGGGCUAUUCCAUUUAAUAUCCGUACCCCCCCUGUCGAGGAUACCUGGAAUUCUUCAGGGGUAGGGUGUUUUGAGCUUGGAAUUCUUCAGGGGUAAAGGAUUUUGAGUUUGGAAUUCUUCAGGGGUAGGGUGUUUUGAGCUUGGAAUUCUUCAGGGGUACAGUGUUUUGAGCUUGGAAUUCUUCAGGGGUACAGUGUUUUGAGCUUGGAAUUCUUCAGGGGUACAGUGUUUUGAGCUUGGAAUUCUUCAGGGGUACAGUGUUUUGAGCUUGGAAUUCUUCAGGGGUACAGUGUUUUGAGCUUGGAAUUCUUCAGGGGUACAGUGUUUUGAGUUUGGAAUUCUUCAGGGGUACAGUGUUUUGAGUUUGGAAUUCUUAAGGGGUAAAUGAUUUUGAGUUUGGAAUUCUUCAGGGGUAAGGUGUUUCGAGCUUGGAAUUCUUCAGGGGUACAGUGUUUUGAGCUUGGAAUUCUUCAGGGGUACAGUGUUUUGAGCUUGGAAUUCUUCAGGGGUAAAGUGUUUUGAGCUUGGAAUUCUUCAGGGGUAGGGUGUUUUGAGCUUGGAAUUCUUCAGGGGUAGGGUGUUUUGAGCUUGGAAUUCUUCAGGGGUACAGUGUUUUGAGCUUGGAAUUCUUCAGGGGUACAGUGUUUUGAGCUUGGAAUUCUUCAGGGGUACAGUGUUUUGAGCUUGGAAUUCUUCAGGGGUACAGUGUUUUGAGCUUGGAAUUCUUCAGGGGUAAAGUGUUUUGAGCUUGGAAUUCUUCAGGGGUACAGUGUUUUGAGCUUGGAAUUCUUCAGGGGUAGGGUGUUUUGAGCUUGGAAUUCUUCAGGGCUAGGGUGUUUUGAGCUUGG
rnacentral:lncRNA from 1 species